CAGCCGCCGCGGGAAUACGUAGGUGGCAAGCGUUGUCCGGAAUUAUUGGGCGUAAAGGGCUCGCAGGCGGUUUCUUAAGUCAGAUGUGAAAGCCCCCGGCUCAACCGGGGAGGGUCAUUGGAAACUGGGAAACUUGAGUGCAGAAGAGGAGAGUGGAAUUCCACGUGUAGCGGUGAAAUGCGUAGAGAUGUGGAGGAACACCAGUGGCGAAGGCGACUCUCUGGUCUGUAACUGACGCUGAGGAGCGAAAGCGUGGGGAGCGAACAGGAUUAGAUACCCCAGUAGUCCCUGUCUCUUAUAC
rnacentral:rRNA from 1 species